rnacentral:tRNA from 1 species
GGGGUUGUGGCUCAGUGGUAGAGCGUUUGCCUAAUAUGUGGGAGGCAUGGGGUUUGAGCCUCAACACCA